rnacentral:rRNA from 1 species
GACGGACGCUGGCGGCGUGCUUAACACAUGCAAGUCGAACGGAAAGGCCCCAGCUUGCUGGGGUACUCGAGUGGCGAACGGGUGAGUAACACGUGGGUGAUCUGCCCUGCACUCUGGGAUAAGCCUGGGAAACUGGGUCUAAUACCGGAUAGGACCGUGCUUUAGUGUGUGCGGUGGAAAGUUUUUCGGUGCAGGAUGAGCCCGCGGCCUAUCAGCUUGUUGGUGGGGUAAUGGCCUACCAAGGCGGCGACGGGUAGCCGGCCUGAGAGGGUGUACGGCCACAUUGGGACUGAGACACGGCCCAGACUCCUACGGGAGGCAGCAGUGGGGAAUAUUGCACAAUGGGCGCAAGCCUGAUGCAGCGACGCCGCGUGGGGGAUGAUGGCCUUCGGGUUGUAAACCCCUUUCGGCAGGGACGAAGCUUUUGUGACGGUAUCUGCAUAAGAAGCACCGGCUAACUACGUG